ACUGUUAACCGGUGGAUCACUUGGCUUCGUACGUCGAUGAAAAACGAGGGCGAGGACUUGGAAAAGUUUUAUGUGAAAUUGCAGCCCACGUUGAACAUAGAAAAUUUUGAACGCACAUUGCGGUGUUGAGUUGACUCGACGCCGCGUCUGUCUGAGGGUCG
rnacentral:rRNA from 1 species